AUGGGUCUGGCGAAGGAUGGCGCCGAGAUGGAGGAGGGGACAUUGGAGAUUGGCAUAGAGUAUAGGACUGUCUCCGGUGUGGCAGGGCCGUUGGUUAUUUUGGACAAAGUAAAGGGCCCAAAGUAUCAGGAGAUUGUGAACAUCCGAUUGGGAGAUGGCACCACUCGUCGUGGUCAAGUCCUCGAAGUCGAUGGUGAAAAAGCUGUUGUGCAGGUAUUUGAAGGUACUUCAGGGAUAGACAACAAGUAUACUACUGUGCAGUUCACAGGCGAGGUUUUGAAAACUCCCGUCUCACUUGAUAUGCUUGGACGCAUUUUUAAUGGCUCUGGAAAACCUAUUGAUAAUGGCCCCCCUAUAUUGCCCGAGGCUUACUUGGAUAUUUCUGGUGAGUUAUUUCAUGUUAUCGUAAACUUUCUUAUGCUUAGGGUAGACAAGUGGCAUGGACACUUCUUAGGAGAACUGGAGAUUAGUUAA
rnacentral:rRNA from 1 species